rnacentral:rRNA from 1 species
UAUUGCACAAUGGGGGGAAACCCUGAUGCAGCGACGCCGCGUGAAGGAAGAAGUAUCUCGGUAUGUAAACUUCUAUCGGCAGGGAAGAAAACGGAAGGUACCUGACUAAGAAGCCCCGGCUAACUACGUGCCAGCAGCCGCGGUAAUACGUAGGGGGCGAGCGUUAUCCGGAUUUACUGGGUGUAAAGGGAGCGUAGACGGCUGGGCAAGCCUGAUGUGAAAGGCGGGGGCGCAACCCUCGGACUGCAUUGGGAACUGUCCGGCUGGAGCGCCGGAGGGGUAAGCGGAAUUCCUGGUGUAGCGGUGAAAUGCGUAGAUAUCAGGAGGAACACCGGUGGCGAAGGCGGCUUACUGGACGGCGACUGACGUUGAUGCUCGAAAGCGUGGGGAGCG